rnacentral:lncRNA from 1 species
CUCCCUUUCGCUGUCUCUCAGGUUUGGUACCGAGUGCCACCCGUGAUCUAAGUCACAAAAAAACUAGCCUGUUGGGGGCUUGCUGUUCUUAAUUUCUGGGGCAGCCACGUAAAGAGGGACGGGGGAGAGACGCAGGUUUUUUUCCCUCUCCCCGCCUUACCACUGCCCCUUUGCCCCUUUCUCCCCGCACCCUCCGACUGGCACCCCCACCUCGCGGGGCGGAUGGGACGCUUUGGCGCGCGUCACUCCGCGCUGGCGUGGACGAGCCAGUGCGCGGUGCCAGGCAGGCGCCGGCCGGACGUCGGGGGCUCCUUCUCCCCGCGAGCUGAGGGCCCUGGGCUCGGCUGGGAUCCAGCCCGCGCCAGACCGAGACUCGAAGGAGGCGAGCCCAGGGUUUGAAGAAGUUAAACUAGAGAUUGGUAUGGGACCUUGUCUGUAGCAAUUGAGCGGGAAGAACGCUACUUUCAGAAACACAGAUCUAGGACCAAAUAAUGCUAUAGUAGUGGAUUAGCUCUCCAUCUUUGCAAAUGCUUACUGAGUCCUUAGUCUCCAGCUCAUGCAACAGAGUUAUCAACUAUCAAUAUCAUCAUGACUGUUUUAAUUAUUUAAUGGAACCCACUGAAGUUGAUGAUGAGCUACCAAGAAAUUUCAGGAACACAGACAUGUCAGUCAGUGUGCCAUUUCUCCUGAAUCUUUUGUACCUAUACGUAUCUAAGAACCCAUUGUAAAAUGCAAAGCACAAAAAUAAAUACAAAUAAAGUUAGGGGA